rnacentral:misc_RNA from 1 species
GAUGAAGAACGUAGCGAAAUGCGAUACGUAAUGUGAAUUGCAGAAUUCAGUGAAUCAUCGAGUCUUUGAACGCACAUUGCGCCCCCUGGUAUUCCGGGGGCAUGCCUGUCCGAGCGUCAUUGCUGCCCUCAAGCCCGGCUUGUGUGUUGGGUCUCGUCCCCCUUCCCGGGGGGACGGGCCCGAAAGGCAGCGGCGGCACCGUGUCCGGUCCUCGAGCGUAUGGGGCUUUGUCACCCGCUCUGUAGGCCCGGCCGGCGCUUGCCGAUCAACCAAAACUUUUUUCCAGGUUGACCUCGGAUCAGGUAGGGAUACCCGCUGAACUUAAGCAUAUCAAUAAGCGGAGGA